UCCGGGGCGCGCGGCGGAAGCGGCGGGGCCGCGGCAGUUCCGCCUCGGCGUCGGUGGCGCUGCACGAAAUGGCGAAGAUCGCCAAGACCCACGAAGAUAUUGAAGCACAAAUUCGAGAAAUUCAAGGAAAAAAGCCUGCUCUUGAUGAAGCACAAGGAGUAGGCCUUGAUUCCACAGGAUAUUAUGAUCAAGAAAUUUAUGGUGGCAGUGACAGCAGGUUUGCUGGAUAUGUCACUUCUAUUGCAGCAACUGAAUUGGAAGAUGAUGAUGAUGACUACCCUUCCACCAGUUUGCUCGGGCAGAAGAAGCCAGGGUACCACGCUCCAGUGGCAUUGCUCAAUGACAUCCCACAGUCCACUGAACAGUAUGAUCCUUUUGCAGAACACCGUCCUCAAAAGAUUGCAGAUCGGGAAGAUGAGUACAAAAAGCACAGGCGGAUGAUGAUAAUUUCCCCUGAGCGUCUUGAUCCUUUUGCAGAUGGUAGAAGGACAAGAAAAUUGUCAAUGAGCCAUUGCCAUAGAAACACAAAGGGUUAAAGGUUUCUCUUUUCUUUUGUUUUGGGUUGUGCGUUGUACUAUGAACAACUUGUGUAUUGAGUGCUCAGAUUCAUUCAGUACCUUGAAAGUUUUCAUUCCGAGUCAUAGAUUUUACAGGGUUACUGCUUUUGAAAUGCUCAAAUAGAGCACCUAAUUCUUACCAUCCUAAGUAAACCUUAGGUGGUGUAGCUAAAAGAAACAAAAGCAUAUAUAAGACUUUGAUACUACUAAUAGUUCAAGUCUGUUCUGAUAAUUUGAGAAUGCAAGUCAGGAAAAGGGGUGUUAGUGGGUCUGACAGAAAUUUUCUUCAGGUGAGUGAGUUUCACAUGUGGCAAUAAGAUGCCUGUUGGCUUAAAAUUAGUAGCUAUUUUGCAGGUUUUACAAUUGAGAAUUUCAGCCUGCAUGAAUUAAUAGGGAUAUUAAUUAUUUUACUUGCUUAAUUGUAAUUGAUAUAAACAUGUAUUGUCAGAAUUCACAGGCCCAUACUAACUGUCCUUAAUUUCUUUCCUACAGCAGUACUGCUAUAUGCCAGUCCUGUCUGCAUUCUUAAGGGUGCAGUUCAACACAUCCUGUGUAGAUUAUGGUGAAAAAGUAUUCCAAAGGAAAGUCCUAUCAAAGCUAGUGUCAGAAAGACACAGCCAAUUGGGCAGGGAUCUUCAGCAUAGAAACGUUUAAGAAGUUUAUUUUUUUCCCUAAAGUAUAAUGCUAUACCACUUGUAUAGCAAAUCCGCACAUUUUUCUUUAAGAAAAGUGUUUGUCUUGACAAGUCUCAUUGCUAUAAAGUUGGGCUUCUUUUAAAGUAUUUAAAAAUUUAAUUAAUGCAAGAUACACAGCAUAAAACAACAUAUGGUGUACAAAACCCAUUUCCUGUGAGUAUUGUUGUGGUGGUGUAUGUACUGUAUUGCAUUCAGCUCCCAAUCACAAUUGUACCUUGAGAAGAGAAGAGGGGGAAAGUGUCAUCAAAUGGUUUUGUGGGGUUUUUUGUUUUGUUUUAUUUUUAUUUUUUAAUGAAGCCCUGUUACAAUAUGACACUAGAAGGUCUGUGAGACAUGUCCAGAUUUGUCAAACUUACAAAUGGGUCUUUAUGAUAAAACAGUUUAAACGUUACUUAGGUAUGCAAUAGUUAUUUAUAGUCAGAUAACAAGUAGGAUUUAACAGCUUACACAAGGUAAUGUUUUGAUAUUAAAUAUCUUUCCAAAGUGUUACUAAUGGUAAAGAGAUAAUUUUCUAGGCUUCUAUUCUGCUGCUUGAAGUCAGAACUGCUGAUGGAGACAAAGGCACGAAAGUGUACGUAUUCCGGAUUAGCAACCCAGGAACCCAUCACUUCUGAAGACUCUUAACUGUGUUGUCAUUUUAUCAUUUUUAUCAGCUUUAAAAUAUUUGUUUGAAACUGCAGUAGUUAUGUUUGUGUUCAAACAGGUUAAAUUGAUCAGCAAACUGAAUAAACGUAAGAUACAUGUAAUUUUUAAAAUUUUCGAUCAAAAAGUAAAAUUAAAUGAUCAUGGAAUAAUAUAAUACUAGAGCAGGACAGUAGAAGUCAAUAGGUUCUGCUUAUCCUAUACUCAUUGUGCUCCAUUCCUGUUGCUGUUCUCUUCCACAGGAGGGAAGACUCCAGAUCCUAAAAUGAAUGCCAGAACAUACAUGGAUGUUAUGCGUGAACAGCAUUUAACGAAAGAAGAGAGGGAAAUUAGGCAACAACUAGCUGAAAAAGCUAAAGCUGGAGAGCUUAAAGUCGUCAAUGGAGCCGCAUCUCAGCCACCUUCAAAACGCAAACGGCGUUGGGAUCAGACAGCUGAUCAGACCCCUGGUGCUACACCUAAAAAAUUAUCCAGUUGGGAUCAAGCAGAGACUCCAGGACAUACCCCAUCUCUGCGAUGGGAUGAGACUCCAGGCCGUGCAAAGGGUAGCGAAACUCCUGGUGCCACCCCAGGCUCGAAAAUAUGGGAUCCA